rnacentral:rRNA from 1 species
CUCGAGAGUCUGACAGCCAUGCCGCGUGCAGGAUGACUGCCCUAUGGGUUGUAAACUGCUUUUAUAUGGGAAUAAACCCCCGCUCGUGAGCGGGGCUGAAGGUACCAUACGAAUAAGGAUCGGCUAACUCCGUGCCAGCAGCCGCGGUAAUACGGAGGAUCCAAGCGUUAUCCGGAUUUAUUGGGUUUAAAGGGUCCGUAGGCGGGAUAUUAAGUCAGUGGUGAAAGCCUACAGCUCAACUGUAGCACUGCCAUUGAUACUGGUAUUCUUGAGUAUAGUUGAAGUGGGCGGAAUAAGUCAUGUAGCGGUGAAAUGCAUAGAUAUGACUUAGAACACCGAUUGCGAAGGCAGCUCACUAAGCUAUCACUGACGCUGAGGGACGAAAGCGUGGGUAGCAAACAGGAUUAGAUACCCUGGUAGUCCACGCUGUAAACGAUGAUCACUCGCUGUUGGCGAUAUACUGUCAGCGGCCAAGCGAAAGCAUUAAGUGAUCCACCUGGGGAGUACGCUCGCAAGAGUGAAACUCAAAGGAAUUGACGGA